rnacentral:rRNA from 1 species
UGGGGAAUUUUGGACAAUGGGCGCAAGCCUGAUCCAGCCAUGCCGCGUGCGGGAAGAAGGCCUUCGGGUUGUAAACCGCUUUUGUCAGGGAAGAAAUCUUCUGGGUUAAUACCUCGGGAGGAUGACGGUACCUGAAGAAUAAGCACCGGCUAACUACGUGCCAGCCGCCGCGGUAAUACGUAGGGUGCAAGCGUUAAUCGGAAUUACUGGGCGUAAAGCGUGCGCAGGCGGUUAUGCAAGACAGAUGUGAAAUCCCCGGGCUCAACCUGGGAACUGCAUUUGUGACUGCAUGGCUAGAGUGCGGCAGAGGGGGAUGGAAUUCCGCGUGUAGCAGUGAAAUGCGUAGAUAUGCGGAGGAACACCGAUGGCGAAGGCAAUCCCCUGGGCCUGCACUGACGCUCAUGCACGAAAGCGUGGGGAGCAAACAGGAUUAGAUACCCUGGUAGUCCACGCCCUAAACGAUGUCAACUGGUUGUUGGGAAGGUUCCUUCUCAGUAACGUAGCUAACGCGUGAAGUUGACCGCCUGGGGAGUACGGCCGCAAGGUUG